UACGGAGGGUGCGAGCGUUGUCCGGAUUCACUGGGCGUAAAGGGUGCGUAGGUGGUUAGGUAAGUCCGAUGUGAAAUCUCCAGGCUCAACCUGGAAAUGGCAUUGGAUACUAUUUAGCUUGAGGAGUGGAGGGGGGACUGGAAUUCUCGGUGUAGCAGUGAAAUGCGUAGAUAUCGAGAGGAACACCAGUGGCGAAGGCGAGUCCCUGGACACUUCCUGACACUGAGGCACGAAAGCUAGGGGAGCAAACAGG
rnacentral:rRNA from 1 species